rnacentral:rRNA from 1 species
UACGUAGGGGGCUAGCGUUGUUCGGAAUUACUGGGCGUAAAGCGCACGUAGGCGGAUAUUUAAGUCAGGGGUGAAAUCCCAGAGCUCAACUCUGGAACUGCCUUUGAUACUGGGUAUCUCGAGUAUGGAAGAGGUGAGUGGAAUUCCGAGUGUAGAGGUGAAAUUCGUAGAUAUUCGGAGGAACACCAGUGGCGAAGGCGGCUCACUGGUCCAUUACUGACGCUGAGGUGCGAAAGCGUGGGGAGCAAACAGG